AUUGAACGCUGGCGGCAUGCCUUACACAUGCAAGUCGAACGGCAGCACGGGUGCUUGCACCUGGUGGCGAGUGGCGAACGGGUGAGUAAUACAUCGGAACAUGUCCUGUAGUGGGGGAUAGCCCGGCGAAAGCCGGAUUAAUACCGCAUACGAUCUACGGAUGAAAGCGGAGGACCUUCGGGCCUCGCGCUAUAGGGUUGGCCGAUGGCUGAUUAGCUAGUUGGUGGGGUAAAGGCCUACCAAGGCGACGAUCAGUAGCUGGUCUGAGAGGACGACCAGCCACACUGGGACUGAGACACGGCCCAGACUCCUACGGGAGGCAGCAGUGGGGAAUUUUGGACAAUGGGCGAAAGCCUGAUCCAGCAAUGCCGCGUGUGUGAAGAAGGCCUUCGGGUUGUAAAGCACUUUUGUCCGGAAAGAAAUCCUUGGCCCUAAUACGGUCGGGGGAUGACGGUACCGGAAGAAUAAGCACCGGCUAACUACGUG
rnacentral:rRNA from 1 species